rnacentral:lncRNA from 1 species
AGUAAUUCAAUACUAAUGAUGAUGAUGUGGUGUAUGCAUAUGCUGAUGAAAGAAGGUGGUUCGCAGUACUCCUACACAUGUUGCACACCUUGAAGAAAUAGUUCAAGGAUUCACAAUGCAAGAAAAUGUUCAAAACCACUUAUGAAGUGAGAGGAUUCGUGUGUGACCUAGUGAUUGACAGUGGGUGUGAAGAAAAUAUUGUGGCUAAGAUUGUGGUGGACAAGCUUAAGUUGUAGAAUGCAAAUCAUCCAGAACCUUAUCUAGCUGGUUAGAUCUUGAAGGGGCA